UGUGUCAAAUAAGAAACUUUCGUUUCCACAAUUACUUCGCGCUCUACGGCAAUAAAUUAAAAGAUUUAGUCUAUCGCGUACGAUAGAUGCAUUCAAUUCCAUAAUUGUGUACCAUUUACCAUCCAAAUCCGGCACUAUUUAGAUUGGUUCUUUCACACAUUUUUUUGUCCCAGUACCCAACCACCAUGAUAUGUCCACUUGCGCAAUGGUCGGAAUUGUUAUUGACUCGUCCGAGCCAACUGACGUCCGGAUUGAAAACGCGUGUUGUGUGGGGUGUAACAGAAAUGUGAGCUCCAUUGCAAAAGCUGCGCUCGUGAAAAGGGGUCCGUCUGGUGGCUUUUUGUAGCCGUUUUUGUAAUAAAUCUACCUUCUGGAAUUUCUACCUUCAUCCCCAUUCACAAUCAUCCGAGCGAUCGAUGGUUUACCCAGGAUAUGGGUGAGCGCUUAUCAGCUCGAUACCAGACAAAACAGGUCCAUAUCUCAUCUCGUCUGUGUAAUGUUUCCACACCCGGACGUUUACCGCAACCAUCCCCUUCGGGCGACAAUCGAGAAGAUGUGGGGAUGUGUUGCAAUCAACGGGGAGAAACAAUUUGAACGGUUUCCCACGACAUCGCCGUUAGCCAGCAUCCAAGCUGGGCGAUUUCCGCGCGCGCGCGCGUGUGUGUGUGAGUGUUUGUGGGGAUGAAGAUUAUCUCGUAAAUUGCAACGCAACCAAACCGGGGCUAUUGCUGUCGUAAUUUGGACACAGUUUUGAAUUGUGUUGCCUGCAGUGAUGGGGCGCAGUUUUCGUGUGGUACGUCGGAAGAGCCUUUUUCCUUUCCAUUAGUUGGAAAAUUGCGUCUCUGUUGCGCGCGAUACGCCACAUUGUGCAUUGCGGUGUUUUUGGCCAAAUUUGAAUGAUUACAGCCCAGUUCGCGUCGGGACAAUGCGCGUCGUCCGUGUCGAUGAUGAUUGGGCGAAAGCAUAUUUGUCAUUGAGCCAAAAAUAAAAGCACCCAGUGGCGGUUGAGCUGGAUGGUGCUUGAGGGAUAAUCAUGAUUAUUGUACUGUCGAUUUUGGUGACUCGAGCAGAAUCAAACCAAGUGGACAAAUGUUAGUUUGCGAUGCGUCAAGUAUGUUGAUAGAUUGGGGAUGGUUUAUUGUUUUGUUCUGCAAUUAGAAUGCCUAGCGAGAUAAUGUAUUGUCAAUGAUCGUUAGUUAGUAAAAAGUAUGCAAUUUGUUGGAGAGAUUGAAUGGUUAGAAAACUCAGAAUAAAAACAUUCGAACAAUCCGAUUGUUCGUCGUAUGGCCGUUGUUAUGGUUGUUGAAUGCAGACUUAUCAUUAAUUCAUACCCAACGGGCGCUUGGCCGGAUUUCCAUACUAAUGAAACACGGAAGAUGGAGACAAAUGCGUUGUCCAUAUGGCUUUCCGUUGAUUAGCGACUGGCGAGAGAAUUGGUAAGCUCUUGAUUAAAAUGUAAUCAACGGAAAGAAGUGGAACGUUUGGAUCCCAAUCAGGACACAUAACCAUUCAAUUAAUUUAUCCAAGCUUGAAAUGCGCCACAGCUGAAUGUUACAUACAAAUAUCAAAAGCUUUAUUUACUGCCAAUAAAUUGCGUUUUUUUAAGAACGAUUAGAAACUUUUAUAAUCCUUAACGAUAUGCCUUUCUACGUUGUAGAAAUAUUAUUUCCAGAUAUAAAUACUUAUGUCUUUUCUAACUUAAAUGAUAUGAAAUUUUAAGAAACAAGAAAUAAUGCCUAAUUUAAAUAUCAAAUUAAAAAAAAAAUAGGUUCAAAAUACUGCUCUAUACGCUUUUGGUACGAAAAUACCAAUCUUACAUCAAAAGCUACCCAACAUUACAAGAAAAAAAACACAAUCCCCCCAUGCACCGUGCGGAUGGGCGCAAAGCUUUCAUUAAGUCCUUUUUCCCAUCUUUAGAACCGUUGCGUGACUGAAAUAAAUAUUAAAGCGGCACACGAAAAUCACCCGAAUCGGCACUUCGUUAUCGGAAAAUCGGCCGAAUUUUUCGGUUAUCAAAACAAAUUCUCCAACAUUUUAUAUCAUCUGCUCAUCUGUAGUCUGUGCUCUUGAUUCCACUCUCCUUUUCUCUCUCUCGCUUUUCCAGUUUAGUUUUGCGGGCGAGCGGGAGCAACAAUUGAGCAACAAAAAUCAGGGCGAGAGAAAAUGGUAUGUUACCGAGAGCGGCCAUUUUAUAGCAAGUAGUUGCAGGGUAAUGCAGGAAAGCAGUAGCAAGAGUUUUUAGUACAAGCUCCGAGAGCAUACAUCGUUUGAUACGAGUUGGCCGGAUGUUGACCGUCGCCGGUUGCUGCUACCCGGGCACGCCAAAGCAUGCAUGCCAGCGAGAUACGGACGGUUCAGUAGUAAGUGAGCCGUUUUACAGUGGCAAGCGUUACGGCACGUGGUGCGUGCCCGUGGGCGAUGUGAUACUUUACGAAAAAGGGCGGAUGCGUUCCGUGGCAGGGAAUGCAUUCUGCAAGUUUUCCUAUCAUUUGUCAAUGAGUUGAUUUAUUUAAAACGCGUGUUUAGUUUUGUUUUCUGAUGUUAAAGGGAAAUGUUUUACCUGUUGUUCUUAUUCAUCGAAAGUGGUCAAACAAUUGGAGUUCGAACGCAAUUUUUAAAUCAGUUCGAACGAUUUUUAAAAAUCAAGGAUAGAAAGUGACAACAAAUCAGCUUAACUGCUAUUCAAUGAAGAUUUGCUGUGAAUCGCAUUCCAUGGCUCCCGCUUAAACUCGACAGACGGGGGAAGACACCAAUAGCCAGCUGAAGAGCGCCAGCAUGUAAAGAAAGGUUUCGAAAGGGCUCAGGGAGCAGAGAGCCCCCCGUUGCUGACAGGCGGAUAAGAGGAGAAGAAGCGCCCGAACUUUAGCUGAUCCCAUGGCGAGAUGAAGCUGUCAGUAUUAAUCAGCGAAGCGACUUUCGCUAACCGUAAAAUAUCUUCCCUCGGGCAAGGAACGGUUCCGCACCGUAGGCAAGCGUUGGAAAGGAAAUAUCGCUAUAUCAUAUGCUAGUCGCACGCUUCUAGCAUUUAGUGGCUAAGGGUACACUGGCUUGGUGUACAUGACGCUGUAGUACUGCUGCAACCGAUUCGGAAAGCUAGUCCCACUGUAAAUUUUGCAAAAACAACCGUUUCACAACACAACGAACUUACCGCGGACACUGAGCGGACGGAACUGGACUGGUUCUGGAAGCUUAUGAUGUACCGUGUUUAGGACUUCUAGUAGUAAGCAACUCUUUUCAUCUUUUCGCUUUCUAUGUGCGUGCUGCAGAAAACACAAUACAAGUCAUAAAGAGAAUAAACUGUUUCAUGUGUGCUUUGGAAAAAAAAACAAAAUCUUCAUUGUCUGCCUUUUUGGUAACGAA